UGUCAUUUGUCAAUGGUGGUCCAUCAUCCGUCCGUGCAGGUUUAGGGCAGGGGUCCCGGCGGCAGGAUUGUAGCGAAAGCCCGUUCGGUUUUCCCGUCUGGAACGAGCUGUUGAAAUUGGAGAGAGCCGUUGGAUGCGACGGGCGGUCGGGCAACGCCGAUUCGACGGUGGCCACGCCUAGUCGUCCCGUGGGCGAUGGGCGAGUAGCGGCGGCGUGGCGCCAGUGAGCCGAAACUACCCGUGUCGUUGUCGCGGCCAUUUAUGGUUGUGGUAUCGCCCCGAAAUUCCAGCCACGGCGAUGAUGCAUUGGCGCGGUGGUGUACAGUACAGGGGAAGAAGAAGAAGGCAGGGCAGGGGCGCCCAUCAGGCGUCCAUGAUCCAUCGGCCCAACCACCUCCAACGCUGACGUGCUGUUCCCUCUUAAUUUCCCUCGCGCUUUCCGUGCAUCCCAAGCGAGGACAGCAGCCCAACCCCAACCCCGACCUGCCGAGCGCCGGCUGCCGCUGCGCACCACCACCAGCACAGGCACGAGACAGCGCUUCAGCUCACAUGCCGCGGCGGCCGGCACCGCAUUUCCAAAGCCCGGGGCGGGCCGGGGGCCUCGCCCUCGCGCAAUAGACAACGCCUCUCCAACCGCAGCACGGCCACGGUCACCUAGCCUACAACCAAAUACCCGGCUGCGCGCGACGAGCGAGUUGGUACCAGCGACUGCGAGCGCCAUAUAUCAUAUAUCCAUCCAAAGCUUCGGUCCCUGGUUGACUUGCUUGCUGCUUCCUUCCUUGUCCAUUGGCCAUGGCUUCCUUGUCCCGGUUUGGUGCCUGAUUGCUCGACCUCACCUGAUACAUCGCUCCGCCGUCUAUAUAGCUGCUGCCUACACCGGCCGGACAGCGGAUGAGUGCGGCUGCACUGGUGCCGAGCCAGGGACCGAGACCGGCGGCGAGAGGGGCACCAGCAGGAAGGCCAAGAUGGCGGCGGGACUGAGGAGAGCCGGCGGCAGGUUUCUUCUUGCGCGGGAAAUCAGGAGCAGUGGCGCUGGCGCCAAUGUGCACUUCUUCGGUGCCAGAGGCGGCGUUACAAUGCCGCGCGCGUUGCUGGAGGAUCCAGCGCCCGCGCCGGCGAUGGACGCCACCGCCACGACGACCGGGAGGGGGUCGCCGCCGUCCGCCUCCGUCUCCGCCGCGGCGUCGAGGAUCACGCCGGCGGUGCUGUUCGUCACGGUGGUCCUGGCCGUGGUGCUGCUCGUCUCCGGCCUGCUCCACGUCCUGCGCCGCGUCUUCCUCAAGAGCCACCACGCCAGCGCCGGCGCCGGGGAGCGCCAGCUGCAGCACCUCUUCUUCCCCGCGCACGACGACGGCGGCGCCAGCGGCUCCGGAACCGGCGGCGGCGGCCUCGGCCAGGCUGCCAUCGACGCGCUCCCGGAGUUCGCCUACGCCGAGCUGUCCGGGACCGCCGCCGCCGCCGCUAGCAGGAAGGGGAAGGAGAAGGCGGCCCGGCCGUUCGACUGCGCCGUCUGCCUCUGCGAGUUCGCGGACCACGACCGGCUCCGCCUGCUGCCGCUGUGCGGCCACGCCUUCCACGUCGCCUGCAUCGACGUCUGGCUCCGCUCCAGCGCCACCUGCCCGCUCUGCCGCACCAAGGUCUCCGCGCGACACCUCGCCGCAGCCACGGACGCGCCAUCGUCCGUCGCCACGGACGUCGAGGAGCAGAAGCCGCAGCAGGACCAGGCGCCGCCAGACGCCGUCGAGGCCGCCAGCAGCAGCGUCGUGCUCCCGGUCAGGCUCGGCCGGUUCAAGAACGUCGACGACGACGCCGAGUCCAGCUCCAGCACCGGCGCCACCAGCCGAAUCGACCGGCGGAGGUGCUACUCCAUGGGUUCGUACCAGUACGUGCUAGCCGACGAGCACCUGCUGGUCUCCGUGCACCUGCGGCACGGCAAUGCGGGCGGCGGCGCCGGCACCGCGUGCGGCACUAGCAGCAGCGCCGCAGUAACCGCGGCGAGCAGUAGCGACGAGCAGCACCAGGGCAAGAAGGUGUUCGCGCGCGGCGACAGCUUCUCCGUGUCCAAGAUCUGGCAGUGGCGCGGCAGCAAGCGGCUGCCCGGCGGCCUCUGCGCCGACGACGGCCUGCCGUGGGCGCCGGCGGCCAAGGACGAUCAUGCCAGCGCGAACACGAGGCAACACAGCGACACUUGAUCAUACAGUAGUAGACAGGCAACCGACACACGCGCAUACACACAUGUAUGCCUAGCUUCACCUUGUUGACUAGCUAGCGGCUUGGUAGAAUUUUGCUGGUGAAAUCAUUCUACGAACGACCAGUCAUGCAAAAAUACAAAAAAAAAUAUUUUUGGGUGAUCUUCAUCUGGAUCAUUUUGUGCCAUAUUACUGUAUUUCAAUUUCAUGACUGACGUUAAUCCCAGCAGGCUGGCUGGCAGUGCAGAACACACACACAUAAAGCCCAUAACUUUGUACUUGCACCGGAAUAUUCUCGUGUUUACUCAUCUCGUGCUUGUUUGUACUGUGCUGUGCAGCAAAAAGAUGGCAGUUUGAGUUC